ACUCGUCACAGCGAGUAUAAAGAGGCAUUAGGCUGUGAGCGUUCCCCGUCAUGGGGAGGUUGCA
rnacentral:ribozyme from 1 species